rnacentral:rRNA from 1 species
UUUGAUGGCGACCGGCGCACGGGUGAGUAACACGUAUCCAACCUGCCGAUGACUCGGGGAUAGCCUUUCGAAAGAAAGAUUAAUACCCGAUGGCAUAGUUCUUCCGCAUGGUAGAACUAUUAAAGAAUUUCGGUCAUCGAUGGGGAUGCGUUCCAUUAGGUUGUUGGCGGGGUAACGGCCCACCAAGCCUUCGAUGGAUAGGGGUUCUGAGAGGAAGGUCCCCCACAUUGGAACUGAGACACGGUCCAAACUCCUACGGGAGGCAGCAUG